AUUGAACGCUGGCGGCAUGCCUUACACAUGCAAGUCGAACGGCAGCACGGGUGCUUGCACCUGGUGGCGAGUGGCGAACGGGUGAGUAAUACAUCGGAACAUGUCCUGUAGUGGGGGAUAGCCCGGCGAAAGCCGGAUUAAUACCGCAUACGAUCUACGGAUGAAAGCGGGGGACCUUCGGGCCUCGCGCUAUAGGGUUGGCCGAUAGCUGAUUAGCUAGUUGGUGGGGUAAAGGCCUACCAAGGCGACGAUCAGUAGCUGGUCUGAGAGGACGACCAGCCACACUGGGACUGAGACACGGCCCAGAACCCUACGGGAGGCAGCAGGGGGGAAUUUGGGACAAUGGGCGGAAGCCUGAUCCAGCAAUGCCGCGUGUGUGAAGAAGGCCUUCGGGUUGUAAAGCACUUUUGUCCGGAAAGAAAUCCUUGGCUCUAAUACAGUCGGGGGAUGACGGUACCGGAAGAAUAAGCACCGGCUAACUACGUG
rnacentral:rRNA from 1 species